AGAGUUUGAUCCUGGCUCAGAUUGAACGCUGGCGGCAUGCCUAACACAUGCAAGUCGCACGCGAAAGGGGGCAACCCCGAGUAGAGUGGCGGACGGGUGCGUAAUACGCGGGAAUCUACCCACGAGUGGGGGACAACCCGGGGAAACCCGGGCUAAUACCGCAUGAGACCUACGGGUGAAAGCGGGGGAUCGCAAGACCUCGCGCUGGUGGAUGAGCCUGCGUCCGAUUAGCUAGUUGGUAGGGUAAAAGCCUACCAAGGCAACGAUCGGUAGCUGGUCUGAGAGGACGACCAGCCACACUGGGACUGAGACACGGCCCAGACUCCUACGGGAGGCAGCAGUGGGGAAUAUUGGACAAUGGGGGCAACCCUGAUCCAGCAAUGCCGCGUGUGUGAAGAAGGCCUUCGGGUUGUAAAGCACUUUCGAUGGGGACAAACGUGUCGGGCUUAACACGUCCGGCCUUGAUGGUACCCAGAGAAGAAGCACCGGCUAACUCUGUGCCAGCAGCCGCGGUAAUACAGAGGGUGCAAGCGUUAAUCGGAAUUACUGGGCGUAAAGCGUGCGUAGGUGGUUGGAAAAGUCAGGUGUGAAAUCCCCGAGCUCAACUUGGGAAUUGCGCUUGAUACUGUCCGGCUAGAGUGUGGUAGAGGGUAGUGGAAUUCCGCAUGUAGCGGUGAAAUGCGUAGAUAUGCGGAGGAACAUCAGUGGCGAAGGCGGCUACCUGGACCAACACUGACACUGAGGCACGAAAGCGUGGGUAGCAAACAGGAUUAGAUACCCUGGUAGUCC
rnacentral:rRNA from 1 species